AUCUCGUUCAAUUCAACAAAUGGUAUUCCAAACUGACGAAUCUUUUAUCGGUACCACGUACAAAACUGGGUUACUGUAGUUUGCAUCACUGAUAAAAAGUGUCUUUUACGAAAUUCGUUACAAUAUUCCCCAAUUACAUAAAAACAGUAUAUGAAUUAGGAAUGUUCGGCUAUGUUUCCUGCGGGGCCUAAAUCCGACUGUGGUUACGUCCAGUGACCCGCUAUUUCACUUCGAGCCCAAACCCAUCGUCAUAAAGCCAGAUUGGAACAUUAAAACUAUUUCUUAUUUUUAUUACUUAAGAGUAGCUAUAAUAAAAGUCUGGACUAGGGUAUUGGGGGUUUUCUCAACAUUCCAGACGGGAAAUCCCGAUGUUCUUUCAUCUCCGACAAAUAUAUUUAGUUCUGAAAUGGAGAAAACGAUAAACUUUCCAGCUAGAGUAUUCCGAGGGAUCUCAUGGCAGAUAUCUCAGAUCUUUGAUUUAAUCGAGAAGCAUACUUGUGAGACGUACAUCAGUGAUUUU